rnacentral:rRNA from 1 species
CCCUUAGAUGUUCUGGGCUGCACGCGCGCUACACUGAUGCAUCCAACAAGUUUUUUCCUUGUUCGAGAGGACUAGGUAAUCUUAUGAGAAUGCAUCGUGAUGGGGAUAGAUUAUUGCAAUUAUUAAUCUUCAACGAGGAAUUCCUAGUAAGCGCGAGUCAUCAGCUCGUGCUGAUUACGUCCCUGCCCUUUGUACACACCGCCCGUCGCUCCUACUGAUUGGGUGAUCCGGUGAGCUGUUCGGCCAUAGCAAUGUUUCUUGAGCAGGGCAAUGAAUGUUUCGCAAACCUUGCCACUUAGAGGAAGGAGAAGUCGUAACA